rnacentral:rRNA from 1 species
UUCUAUGGAUCGUAAACCUCUUUUAUAAGGGAAUAAAGUGCGGGACGUGUCCCGUUUUGUAUGUACCUUAUGAAUAAGGAUCGGCUAACUCCGUGCCAGCAGCCGCGGUAAUACGGAGGAUCCGAGCGUUAUCCGGAUUUAUUGGGUUUAAAGGGUGCGUAGGCGGCCUUUUAAGUCAGCGGUGAAAGUCUGUGGCUCAACCAUAGAAUUGCCGUUGAAACUGGGGGGCUUGAGUAUGUUUGAGGCAGGCGGAAUGCGUGGUGUAGCGGUGAAAUGCAUAGAUAUCACGCAGAACCCCGAUUGCGAAGGCAGCCUGCCAAGCCAUUACUGACGCUGAUGCACGAAAGCGUGGGGAUCAAACAGGAUUAGAUACCCUGGUAGUCCACGCAGUAAACGAUGAUCACUAGCUGUUUGCGAUACACUGUAAGCGGCACAGCGAAAGCGUUAAGUGAUCCACCUGGGGAGUACGCCGGCAACGGUGAAACUCAAAGGAAUUGACGGGGGCCCGCACAAGCGGAGGAACAUGUGGUUUAAUUCGAUGAUACGCGAGGAACCUUACCCGGGUUUGAACGCAUUCGGACCGAGGUGGAAACACCUUUUCUAGCAAUAGCCGUUUGCGAGGUGCUGCAUGGUUGUCGUCAGCUCGUGCC